UAGUAUUCCAAAACGAAUUUUCUGUUGACCUUAAGAAAAUAAAUAAAUAAAUAAAAAGAAAUACCAUUAAAAUAUACUUGUUGGGGAGAGAGAGAGAGACAGAGAGAGAGAGAGAGAGAGAGAGAGAGGUUUAAGGAGGUUUAAGAUCAGCAGCCAUGGGAGACAUUCUGUCCGCGCCUUCACUAUCAAACCCUAGCUCCACCGCCAUCGCAUCCGCCACCUCCGCUAUGACUACUUCAAAUUCCUCACAACCCCCACAAUCGAAGUCUGAAACGGAACCCUCCAACCGGCCCAAAACCCCAGAAUCCGAAGCGCCUUUUCUAGAAACCCGAGAUCCACCAGCAGAAAACCAAGAAGAUCCAGCAGAAGAUGAGACCCUUUUGGGAAAAGCUUCAGAAGAUGAGGAAGGAGAAGGAGAGGAAGAGGAGGGUGAGUGCGGGUUUUGUUUGUUUAUGAAAGGAGGUGGGUGUAAAGACGCGUUUAUAGAAUGGGAGAAGUGUGUGGAGGAAGGAGAGAAGAACAAAGAGGAUAUCGUGGAGAAGUGUUUUCAGGCAACUGCUGCUCUGAAGAAGUGCAUGGAAGCGCAUUCUGAUUACUACGCACCUCUUUUGCAGGCUGAGAAGGCUGCUGAGGAGGAGGCCGUGAAGCAAUUGGAGGAGGAGAAAGAAAGGUUGAGUAACCAAGAUAGGGGCGUUGAAGAAUCGGAGAAGAAGGAGAAGGAAGAAGCUUCGGGUGGUUCUGAGAAAAAGGAGACGUCUUGAUUUUAUAGAGAUUUGUUGCUGUCUUGAUUAUACGGCUAUGAUUACUGAUUGGACACUUGAGAUUUAGGGCUUCGAGUUGUGCUGCUAUUUUGGCUCUGUGAAUUUGAGUUUUUUCUUCCGUGAUGUGGAAUUAUGAUAUGUUCUUGUGGAAUAAAAGGGGGAAUAGAGGAUGUUGUUUGUCGAGCCGUGUACUUUUGAAUGUUAGAAAUGCUUGUAUCCAGUAUGUUGUGCUGAUUGCUUAAGUCACUAUUGUUGCAAUAAAACAAUUUGAUUGCAAAUCUGGGGGUGUGUAGUUGG